rnacentral:rRNA from 1 species
AAAGAACCCGGUGACAGGUGGUGCAUGGUUGUCGUCAGCUCGUGUCGUGAGAUGUUGGGUUAAGUCCCGCAACGAGCGCAACCCUCGACCUUAGUUGCCAGCAUUCAGUUGGGCACUCUAAGGUGACUGCCGGCUAAAAGUCGGAGGAAGGUGGGGAUGACGUCAAAUCAUCAUGCCCCUUAUGACCUGGGCUACACACGUGCUACAAUGGGCGGUACAAAGGGUCGCGAACCCGCGAGGGGGAGCCAAUCCCAAAAAGCCGCUCUCAGUUCGGAUUGCAGGCUGCAACUCGCCUGCAUGAAGCCGGAAUCGCUAGUAAUCGCGGAUCAGCAUGCCGCGGUGAAUACGUUCCCGGGCCUU